GAUGUAAGUGCCAAAAGUCAUUUCGAUUCGAGCUUGCUCGAAAUCGAAUAUGACUUAAUGGCACGCCAAACAUGAGUAAGUAGCGCAAUAGCGCGGAUUGCGAAUGUUUGCAAGGAUUGCGGGAGUGCGAAAGCACGGAGCAAUCCGA
rnacentral:sRNA from 1 species